rnacentral:ncRNA from 2 species
UUCUUUUUAGGUUUGGUUGAUGUUUGAUAUCUGAGGAAUAAGAAAGCGGAAAGGGGUGCGAUUCCCCUGCUGUCGCGCAACUGUGAUGGAAACGAAAGCCGAUGAUGCCACUGCCCAGGCGGGAAGGCCGGCGAGUAGGUUGUCCUAAGCCAGGAGACGUCUUAUCCCGAUCCUCGCGUA